rnacentral:rRNA from 1 species
AGCUCCAAUAGCGUAUAUUAAAGUUGUUGCGGUUAAAAAGCUCGUAGUUGGAUUUCUGUUGAGGACGGCCGGUCCGCACUAUGUGCGUGUAUCUGGUUCGGCCUUGGCAUCCUCUUGAGGAACGUUCCUGCGCUUGAUUGCGUGGGGCGGUAUUCAAGACUUUUACUUUGAGGAAAUUAGAGUGUUCACGGCAGGCAAGCGCCUUGAAUACAUUAGCAUGGAAUAAUAAUAUAGGAUCUUGGUUCUAUUUGUUGGUUUCUAGGGCUAAGGUAAUGAUUAAUAGGGAUAAUUGGGGGCAUUUGUAUUAACGCGUCAGAGGUGGAAUUCUUGGAUUGCGUUACGACAAACUACUGCGAAAGCAUUUGCCAAGGAUGUUUUCA